GCCGAGACCAGAGUCUCGCCAAGCAUGGCAUUGCCCCGGCGUGCUGGGGCAUCGGAGAGCAGCUGCUGGCCUAUUUGCCAGCCGGGGCCCCGUGGCCGGGCAGGUCUCCGAGCCAGGGACAGGC
rnacentral:snoRNA from 1 species